rnacentral:rRNA from 1 species
AACGCUGGCGGCAUGCCUUACACAUGCAAGUCGAACGGCAGCACGGGAGCUUGCUCCUGGUGGCGAGGUGGCGAACGGGUGAGUAAUACAUCGGAACGUACCCUGAAGUGGGGGAGUAACGUAGCGAAAGUUACGCUAAUACCGCAUAUUCUGUGAGCAGGAAAGAGGGGGAUCGCAAGACCUCUUGCUUUAGGAGCGGCCGAUGUCGGAUUAGCUAGUUGGUGAAGUAAAGGCUCACCAAGGCGACGAUCCGUAGCGGGUCUGAGAGGAUGAUCCGCCACACUGGGACUGAGACACGGCCCAGACUCCUACGGGAGGCAGCAGUGGGGAAUUUUGGACAAUGGGCGCAAGCCUGAUCCAGCCAUGCCGCGUGAGUGAAGAAGGCUUCGGGUUGUAAAGCUCUUUCGGUGGGGAAGAAAUUGCUUCGGUUAAUACCUGGAGUAGAUGACGGUACCCGCAUAAGAAGCACCGGCUAACUACGUG